AUGGCGAACGGGUGAGGAAUACAUAGGUAACCUACCCUCGAGUGGGGGAUAACUAGCCGAAAGGGGAGGUAAUACCGCGUACGCUCCCCUGCGGGAAAGCGACGCUCAUGGAUGGGCUUAUGUCCUAUCAGCUUGUUGGUGAGGUAACGGCUCACCAAGGCUUCGACGGGUAGCUGGUCUGAGAGGACGAUCAGCCAUACUGGCACUGCGACACGGGCCAGACUCCUACGGGAGGCAGCAGUAAGGAAUAUUGCGCAAUGGGCGAAAGCCUGACGCAGCGACGCCGCGUGGGGGACGAAGGUCUUCGGAUUGUAAACCCCUUUCGGGAGGGAAGAUGGACGGUACCUCCAGAAGCAGCCACGGCUAACUUCGUGCCAGCAGCCGCGGUAAUACGAAGGUGGCAAGCGUUGUUCGGAUUUACUGGGCGUACAGGGAGCGUACGCGGUUCGGUAAGCCCUCUGUGAAAUCUCCAGGCUUAACCUGGAACAGU
rnacentral:rRNA from 1 species